GCCUCCGUAUAGCCGAUUUCACUUCGUCAGCCGCCAAAAGGGAGCAGCAGAUGAGUGAGCGCACCCACCCACUCGCCCCACCGCAAGGCCGGCCCCAACCCAAUGCCUUUUUGGUUUUGCGCUCAUGCGGGAGAGAGGGAGGGAGUGAGAGGAGGAGGAAUCGACCUCCUCUGCUGUGUCGAUCUGAUUCUCAGCAGGCCAAGGUAAUGACAUUUGUUGGCUCGUUUCUGGGGCUGGUCUUUCGUUGAUUCGAACUGCUGCUAUCUGCUACUUUGCUAUGUUUAUGUUUAGGGCGAUUAGGUGCGGAUUUGGGCACUGGAGAUUGAUCGAGGUUGGAGUUUGGGGAUGGCGGGCAAAAUUUCUUGGUUAAAAUCAUGUGUUUCUUCAACAAAUGUUGGGGUUUUAGUGAUGGGAUAUUUGGAUUUAAUGCAGAUGUGAUAAUAUUGGACGUUUCCGGGGGAGAGUUUACCUAUUGGUGGUGGAUUGGAUUAGCAUGUGUGGUUCUGUGUGGUUUUAUCAAGAAAGGUGGGGCUUUGGCGAAUGAAUUAAUCUCGUCUAAGGGUGCAAAAGCUUACAUAUUGUGUCUAUGGGGAAAAAUGUUUUGUACUCGUUUUACCAUUUAAGAUAAUGUAGGAUGAUAACUAACUUAUUCCUCCUUUUCCUAUUCUGAUAUCAAUAUUUUUUUCCUGUUGAUUACCUGCCCAAACUGCUUCAUAGUUAUGUAGGUCUGCACAUUUCUAACUAUCUUCCUACGAUAAAUAGCUGGAUCUUGAGCUCUACCUUUUCCCUCGGUGUUCCAGUGCAGCAUCCUUCUAGUCAUUACUUCUUUAUGAUUGGAUUAGUGGCAAAAUAAAGGCACUCUGAUUGUAUCAUUUUAUUUGCAAUGCUUGGCAGUUAGCAACUUGGCACUGCAUUGUUCACAUAAAAAAAAAUUUGUAUAGUGUAUGGACCUAAAUUGCUAACUAUGUCAUAGAUUUGUAUCUACUAUAUAAGCUGUUCUUGUUGGUGAAAGGACUUUUGGCAAGGUUUGAACUGCCCAACAAGGGAUACUAUGGCAAUGCUUUUUCUGUGACUAAUAUUAUGUCCCUUUUUUGUGUAUGUAAUUCUUCUGGGAUGUUUGAGGGCUUAAUCCAAUCAGUAUUUGAACUUCAUGAGUGAAGCAUUUUAUUGUGAAGGUUCUCACAGAAAGCAGGGUAACUUCUAAUCAUUCCAUGCCAAUGGAUUUUAUUGUAACUUGUUGAGUGGCGGAAUUGAUGGCACAAGUUGGGAGAACAGUCAGAAUUUUAGUCCAAUUAGAGAGCAAUCAUCACAAAUUGAAGAACCUAUCGGCUCUUCAAGACCCACCAACAAGAGAUCCAAAAAUUUCACUGAGCAAGAAGAUGACUUGUUAGUACAAGCAUGGCUAAAUACUAGUUUGGAUGCAGCAAUCGGGAACGAACAAAGUUGUGAAUCUUACUGGGCUAGGAUUCAUCAUUACUAUUAGCAGAACAAGCAAUUUUAAUCGGUGCGCAAUCAAAAUUCUCUUGCCAACCGUUGAGGUCUAUUCAAGAACAAGUUAACAAGUAUUGUGGAAGUUAUGAUCGGACUCAGAAUAGAAGACAAAGUGGCAUGACAGCGCAAGACAGGAUUGUUUAGGCAUAUAUUUCGUACCAGACGGAAGAUACUGAAGGGAGAUCAUUUGGAUUAUUGCAUUGCUGGAUAAUUUUAGAGCACCAUCCAAAGUGGACUUUUAGAUUGUCUUAGAAAAAACAAAAGACAACCUCUAAUGCAAGUUCAGGUACUUCAUCUCUAGGUACAACCUCCAAUGAUGAUGAAGUUGAGGCUUAUACUUCUGAACAUGAUCCAUUGAGAAGACCAACCAGUAAGAAGGUCGAGAAAGAAAAAAACGACGAGGUAAAAGUUCUGCAUCUUCAGAUGGUAGUGUUGUCAUGUUAGCAUUAGAUAAAGUGUGGCUAAAGAAGAUUGAGAGGCAAGACAACAAAGAGACCAAGAAAGAUGCUUGCUACGAACGAGCACUUGCAAUGGAAGAAAAGAUGAUUGCACUUGAAGAAAAUAAGCAGGGAAUAGAAAGAAAUAAGAUAGCACUAGAACAACAAAAGUAGAUCAACAGAGAAAGCAUGAUGAAGAGAGGAUUUUGAGCAUAGACAUUAGUGGUAUGAUUGGGCUAUAACAAUAGUACUGCAUGAGUUUGCAAGGUGGGAUCAUUGCUCGAUGAUACAACGCAUCGGGUUAAGACUAUUAUGUUUUUUAGUUGUGUUAUUUUUAUUGCGGUAUGAACUAUUUGUUGUGCGAACUAUAAGUUGUGUAAACUAUU